rnacentral:lncRNA from 1 species
CAGAUGCAAAAUCUGAUCGGUGAAGAUAAGAAAACGGAGACCAUGGGAAUUCUUCUAGUCCUGUUUACAGCUUCUUUAUGCCUCUACCUUUUCGUUGCUUUGCUCAAUGUUUUCUACAAGUAUUGGUGGAUACCUCAACGGGUACAGUUCGCCAUGAAUUCACAGGGAAUCAGAGGACCUCCUUAUGAAUUUAUCCAUGGAAACAACAAAGAAGCUGCCCAAAUGCUCAUGGAAGCAUCUACCAAACCUAUGGGCUUGACACACGAUAUAUUUCCCAGAGUCGUGCCUCAUGUUUACUCCUGGAUCAACAAAUACGGUGAGAAUGUCUUUUUUUUCUUUUUUGGGUAGUAUUUUCUGAUUAACCUCCACUUUCCAUGAAGAGAAAUCACUUUCUUUCAGGGAGCACUUUUCUUAGUUGGAAUGGAAUUCGAGCUCAACUGCAAAUUACAGACCCAGAUCUGGUCAAAGAGGUCCUUAAAAACAGUGACAAAGCUUUUCGAAAGCCAAAGACUUCAUAUUUCUUCGUCAAGCUAAUAGGCGAUGGGCUUGCUUCAACCGAACGUGAGAAAUGGGCAAGGCAAAGGAAACUGGCCAAUUAUGCCUUUCAUGGGGAGAGCUUAAAAGUAAAUCAUCUCUACCUUCUAAUCUAAUUAUUGUAGUGGACAUUUACAAACUUGAUAAUUUUUUGCAGAAUAUGACUCCAGCAGUAGUUGCUAGCGUUGAAACCAUGCUUGAGAAAUGGAAAAGUAAGGAGGGCAAAGAGAUAGAAGUGUUCCAAGAGUUCAGAUUAUUGACUUCAGAAGUGAUAUCCAGAACCGCCUUUGGUAGCAGUUACUUGGAAGGGGAGAAGAUUUUUGACAUGCUGAUGAAGUUGACAGUAAUUGCAGGCAGAAAUAUUUUUAAAGCAAAGAUUCCCAUCAUCAGGUAACUUCAUCAAAUCUUUACUUUGUUAAUCAACAUACUUCAGCUUACAAUGGGUUGAUUUAAUCUGGUUGUCCUUUUCAGCAAGUUUUGGAAAUCUGCUGAUGAAAUUGAAUCAGAAAGAAUUGCCAAAAUGAUACAUGAUUCUGUGAUGAGGAUUGUUAAAAAAAGGGAAGAGAGAGUAGUGAACGGAGAAGCUGAUAACUUCGGUCGUGAUUUUCUGGGAUUACUUAUAAAUGCUUAUCAUGAGGCGGACCAGAAAAACAGGCUUUCGAUUCAAGAUUUGGUAGAUGAGUGUAAAACUUUUUAUUUUGCUGGGCAAGAAACAGUCAAUUCCUUGCUGGCAUGGGCAACUCUGCUUUUAGCAAUACACACCGAUUGGCAAGACAAAGCAAGAGCAGAGGUGAUUGAGGUCUUUGGUAAUCAAAACCCAGAUUCUGAAGGGAUGGCCAAAUUAAAGACGGUAAGCAAACUAUACAAAUUCAAUAGCUUGAAAACUAACACUGACCAUUUAUAUUGCCUUUUGGAUUUUUUUUUUCUCCAACAGAUUACCAUGAUUAUCAAUGAAACUUUACGGCUCUAUCCUCCUAUAAAUCGCGUGAUAAGAGAAGUAGGAAGAGAAGUCCAAUUAGGAAAACUUGUCCUGCCUACUCAUUCAGAGGUCGACAUGCAAAUCAUAGCACUUCACCAUGACCCUGACUUAUGGGGAGAUGAUGUUAACCUUUUCAAACCAGAGAGGUUUGCUGAAGGGAUAGCGAAAGCUACUAAGUACAAUGCAGCUGCAUUUAUGCCUUUUGGAUUGGGACCUCGAUCUUGCGUAGGCAUGAGCUUUGCAAUCACUGAAGUGAAAACUGCACUUUCCAUGAUUCUGCAACGCUAUACUUUCACCGUCUCCCCUACCUAUGUUCACGCACCUGCACCACGUCUUUCACUCAAGCCACAACAUGGGAUUCAGUUGUUGUUUCAUUCACUACAUUAUGAUGCUUAAAAUUCUAGGCUGUUGGUCUCCAAUAUUGUAAUAUAUAAUAAAAUGUGGAUGAUACUGUAUUUUGCAACCAUACGAUGAUAUAUGGUUUGGGGAUUUCAUGUUUUGGCAACAAGAUUAUAUGCUUUUUGUUGUUGUUGAUAUUGUUAAAGGUUAAAAAGGUAUUACAGCAAACAUCGCCACCGCAGGAGCAGGCCCUACGGUCCACCAAAGAGAAAUCAAUUCAAACUACCCCAAAAAGCUGGAACGGCAGCAGCAAAUCGAGUCAGCUCCCUGAACAUCAUACAGCAACACAGAAAGAAGAACAUCACAACCCAGUCAUAUACACGCCAUGAAGACAUUGGACUCCACAUUUUGCUAAAGUAUCAGCAAAGCAGCUAGAUUCUUUAUACACAUUCACAAUGGAGACAUUAUGGGAUCUCAUCACAGAGCUUAGAAUAUGACCCAUCCAGCAUUUGAGAAACAGUGAAGAUGUCAAGUCCAGGAGCUCCAAACAAUGCCUUGGCCGCUGGAUCCUAUAAUUAGGUGUCUUUCUUCCAUUACUACUGCAGUAGUGAAGUUUUUAUUCCACUUGGUUCCCAUCUUCCAGAGUUUCUGCUUGAAACACUCACUCCUGGAGCCGGCCAUUACAUUGCUUGUUAGCUUUCAUGGAAGGCUCGAAGCUCAUUAGACCAGAAACAUUGUUACUUUGCCUAUGUAUCUAUUUGACAUAUUCUCUUAAGGAAGAGCUACUUAUAUCAAGGCUCCAUCUUUCUGAGUUGCAGGGCAAAAGUCCGUUCUCCAUGCAAAACUACCCAUUUCCACUAAAGCACACUAGCUUUCGCCAUCCCAUCCGCGAAAAAACCUGAAAUGAUACACCAGAAACUCCCUCAAGACAGACAGAGCCAAGUCACUUUCUCGCUAAUCCCCAUUGAACCCUCCAAUUAAGCAAAGCCAUUUCAUAUUUCAACCCAAUGGCCACCACAAUUGCCGUACAAAAUUUACAAAUUAAAAUGCAAAAAGUAAUACAGAAAAAUACACAGCCCAAGCUCCAAUAGUAACAUAAACAUUCAUUUUAUAACAAUAAAGUUAAAGCCACGAAUAUUUUCAAAAAAAUUCAAUUAAGCCCUUGAAUGUUAAAAUUUCAAUCAAUUAAGCUCUUUGAUAGUUAAAGUUAACAGUUAAUUGUUAUAGUUAAAAUUUCAAUCAAUUAAGGUACGGUGUAGCGUUUGUUUACCCAUCGUUUAACCAUGUGGUUGAAGGUUCGAUCCCCACUUAUGGAAAUGAAGCACAUUUCAUAGUCAGUCAUUUACCUAUUUGGAGAGCACUUAUAGUGAGAAGAUUAACUACUGUUGUUGUUGGUGAAUUCCCUGAUUAUUACAAAUAAAAAAUAACAAUUGUCAUUUUUUUUGGAUUAUUUUUGCCACGUGCCAUGCUAAGAUUGUGCCACGUGGUAUAAAAUUAUAAAAAUCAUAUAAAAAUUAUACAAGAAUUAUAAAAAUGAAUAAAAUUAGAAAAAAUAUAUAAAAAAUCUAUUUUUAAAAGGUUAAUAAAUUUAAUAUUUUAUUAUUUUGAAAAGGAUAAUAAAUUUUUAAAAGGUUUUUUUAUUCUUAAAUUUUUAAGGGCUAUUUAAAUUUAAUUUCAAAAUAAAGCAUGCCUAAUAUAUAAAUAGACAUUUAAUUGGUGUCCAACAGGAAUGGCGUCACUCCUAUUUUUCAUCUAGUUUAAAAAUGAUAAUUAAUUCAUCAGGUGUCUGAACAUUUUUAUUUAUUCUUCAAUUCAAUGUCACAAAAAACAAUGACAACAUCCAAAAUAUUUUUUUUUUUUAAAAUGAGUCACCGACAUUUAUGGUUUAAAAUGAGUUUCAAAAUAAGUUAUUUUUAUAAAUAAUUAAAAGUUUUGGGUAUUUUUAAUAAAAAAAGCCUAAGUUUGAUGAAUGGCGUCAGCCAUUAUGUAGGUCUACUUAAUACGAAAACGACGGCUUGAUUUUGUUGGCCAAAAGGAAAGUACCUUUUGGGUUUUGCUUUGCCCAAAUGCUAGCAAAGUCUUUGCAUGCAUUUGUUUGAUUGGAAAAGUGAGAAAUAGAUGAACAUGGUAAGCACAAAUUCUAGACAUUACCAUAUCACCUAUAAAAUUUAGUUAUCUUUUUAAUUUCUUUUGGUGUAUUAUAAAAAAAAAAUUCUAAUAACACGACUUGAAUCAAAUCAUAUCUUAGUCAAGAGAUGGGGUUAUUUUAAUUUUUGUUUAUAAAAAAAAAAUCUUGUUCAUUGAGGGCCCUAGUAGGAGGUAUUGAAUAAUAACUAGAAGUCAAAUCCUGCACGCUUCCCAUUUCUGUGUAUUGAAUUGGCUGUAAUUUUCAAAGGACAUGAACCUUGAAGAGGGACAAGUGUAGUCUCUUGAUGAUAAAUGUGUUGACUGUCACCUUGCAAAACCCAGAUUACCAUAACAGAUGCAAAAUCUGAUCGGUGAAGAUAAGAAAAUGGAGACCAUGGGAAAUCUUCUAAUCCUGUUUACAGCUUCUUUAUGCCUCUAUCUUUUCGUUGCUUUGCUCAAUGUUUUCUACAAGUAUUGCUGGAUACCUCAACGGGUACAGUUCAUCAUGAAUUCACAAGGAAUCAGAGGACCUCCUUAUGAAUUUAUCCAUGGAAACAACAAAGAAGCUGCCCAAAUGCUCAUGGAAGCAUCUACCAAACCUAUGGCCUUGACACACGAUAUAUUUCCCAGAGUCAUGCCUCAUGUUUACUCCUGGAUCAACAAAUACGGUGAGAAUAUGUUUUUUUUAUCUUUUUUGGGUAGUAUUUUCUGAUUAACCUCCACUUUCCAUGAAGAGAAAUCAUUUUCUUUCAGGGAAGACUUAUCUUAGUUGGAAUGGAAUUCGAGCUCAACUGCUAAUUACAGACCCAGAUCUAGUCAAAGAGGUCCUUAAAAACAGUGACAAAGCUUUUCGAAAGCCAAAGGCUUCAUAUUUCUUCGACAAGCUACUAGGCGAUGGGCUUGCUUCAACCGAACGUGAGAAAUGGGCAAGGCAAAGGAAACUGGCCAAUUAUGCCUUUCAUGGGGAGAGCUUAAAAGUAAAUCAUCUCUACCUUCUAAUCUAAUUAUUGUAGUGCGACAUUUACAAACUUGAUCAUUUUUUGCAGAAUAUGACUCCAGCAGUAGUUGCUAGCGUUGAAACCAUGCUUGAGAAAUGGAAAAGUAAGGAGGGCAAAGAGAUAGAAGUGUUCCAAGAGUUCAGAUUAUUGACUUCAGAAGUGAUAUCCAGAACCGCCUUUGGUAGCAGUUACUUGGAAGGGGAGAAGAUUUUUGACAUGCUGAUGAAGUUGUCAGUAAUUGCAGGCAGAAAUAUUUUUAAAGCAAAGAUUCCCAUCAUCAGGUAACUUCAUCAAAUCUUUACUUUGUUAAUCAACAUACUUCAGCUUACAAUGGGUUGAUUUAAUCUGGUUGUCCUUUUCAGCAAGUUUUGGAAAUCUGCUGAUGAAAUUGAAUCAGAAAGAAUUGCCAAAAUGAUACAUGAUUCUGUGAUGAGGAUUGUUAAAAAAAGGGAAGAGAGAGUAGUGAACGGAGAAGCUGAUAACUUCGGUCGUGAUUUUCUGGGAUUACUCGUAGAUGCUUAUCAUGAGGCGGACCAGGAAAACAGGCUUUCGAUUCAAGAUAUGGUAGAUGAGUGUAAAACUUUUUAUUUUGCUGGGCAAGAAACAGUCAAUUCCUUGCUUGCAUGGGCAACUCUGCUUUUAGCAAUACACACCGAUUGGCAAGACAAAGCAAGAGCAGAGGUGAUUGAGGUCUUUGGUAAUCAAAACCCAGAUUCUGAAGGGAUGGCUAAAUUAAAGACGGUAAGCAAACUAUACAAAUUCAAUAGCUUGAAAACUAGCACUGACCAUUCAUAUUGCCUUUUGGAUUUUUUUUUCUCCGAUAGAUUACCAUGAUUAUCAAUGAAACUUUACGGCUCUAUCCUCCUAUAAGUGGCGUGAUAAGAGAAGUAGGAAGAGAAGUCCAAUUAGGAAAACUUGUCCUGCCUACUCAUUCAGAGGUCGACAUGCGAAUCAUAGCGCUUCACCAUGACCCUGACUUAUGGGGAGAUGAUGUUAAUCUUUUCAAACCAGAGAGGUUUGCUGAUGGGAUAGCGAAAGCUACUAAGUACAAUGCAGCUGCAUUUAUGCCUUUUGGAUUGGGAUCUCGAUCUUGCGUUGGCAUGAGCUUUGCAAUCACCGAAGCGAAAACUGCACUUUCCAUGAUUCUGCAACGCUACACUGUGACCGUCUCCGCUAACUAUGUUCACGCUCCUGUACUACGUCUUACACUCAAGCCGCAACAUGGGAUGCAGUUGUUGUUUCAUUCACUACAUUAGGAUGCUUAAAAUUCUAGGCUGUUGGUCUCCAAUAUAGUAAUAUAUAAUAAAAUGUGGAUGAUACUGUAUUUUGCAACCAUACUAUGAUAUAUGGUUUGGGGAUUUCAUGUUUUGGCAACAGGAUUAUAUGCUUUUUUUUUGUUGUUGAUAUUGUUAAAGGUUAAAAGGGUAUUACAGCAAACAUCGCCACCGCAGGAGCAGGCCCUACAGUCCUGUGAAUAACAUAAUUUGGUGUCUUUCUUCCAUUACUACUGCAGUAGUGAAGUUUUUAUUCCACUUGGUUCCCUUCUUCCAGAGUUUCUGCUUGAAACACUCACUCCUGGAGCCGGCCAUUACAUUACUUGUUUAGCUCUCAUGGAGGGCUCCAAGCUCAUUAGACCAGAAACAUUGUUCCUUUGCCUAUGUAUCUUUUUGACAUAUUCUCUUAAGGAAGAGCUACUUAUAUCAAGGCUCCAUCUUUCUGAGUUGCAGGGCAAAAGUCCGUUCUCCAUGAAAAACUACCCAUUUCCACUAAAGCACACUAGCUUUCGCCAUCCCAUCCGCCAAAAAACCUGAAAUGAUACACCAGAAACUCCCUCAAGACAGACAGAGCCAAGUCACUUUCUCGCUGAUCCCCAUUGAACCCUCCAAUUAAGCAAAGCCAUUUCAUAUUUCAAGCCAAUGGCCACCACAAUUGCCGUACAAAAUUUAGAAAUUAAAAUGCAAAAAGUAAUACAAAAAAAUACACAGCCCAAGCUCCAAAAUGCAAGAAAGUACAUUUAAAAUAUGAGCCAAAUUUAGAUUUCAAUUUAAAAAUUUGAAUUUAAUUCGUUUUUAAAUUUGUAAUAUAGUAUAUUCAUUAUAAGAAAAAUAUGAAUUGUCAACCUUUAAAUUUAUUGUUAAAUGUUGUACUACCAUUAAAAAAAUUUUAUUGUAACAGCAAAAAAAUCGUUGUGAGGUCAUUGUGUAUACCUCCAUUGUAUAAAAUAUGCACAACGAUUUUACAAAUUGAAAAAUCGUUUUAAUUAUAUACAUCGCAACAACUUUUUUCGUUUUAAAAUAUAUAUUUUUUGUAACAACUUAAUUUAUUUGUCUAAAAAUGUUUUAGUUAUAAUAAAAUUUGUUAUAAUAUUUUUAACACAACCAUAAUACUUUAGUUACAAAAAACUAUUAUGUAACAAUAAUAUAUUGGUUGUAAUAUAAAAUUUGCAACAACUGUAAAUUAAAAUGCUAAGUUUUGUACGUAACAAUAAUAAUACUGAUAUGUCAUUGUAUUACAUUACUCAAUGAUUAUAUGUCAUUGCCAAAAAAAUAUUUUAAUAACCAUAAAAUGUGGUUGCCAAAUCAUUUACUUAAGAAUAAUACUACUGAUUACUAAAUAUUAUUCUGCAACUAUUUUAAUUUGUUGUGUACUACAUUGCGCAACAACAAUGUUAUUUUUAAUCAAAUGGCUAUAUAUAAUUUAAUAAAAUUAAAAAAAAAGUUUCUUCAUCCUCUAACUUAAUAAAAUAAAAUAAAAAAUUCAUGUUAGAUUGAAUUGAUCUUGAGGUUAUAUAUAGUCAUUGGCCAUGUCAAAGAGAAUAGCUCUACCAAAAUAAAAAAUUUAUUUUUUAUUAAAAAAUUUUUUUAAAAAAAAUUAAUUGCAGCAUAGUAACCGUCAUUCUCUAUGACUCUAUCAAAUAAAAUAAUAAUUUUAAUUUCAAAUUAAAAAUAAAAAUCACUUUAAAAAAUUUGACAUAAUAAAAGUGGUGUGACCAAUUUAUUUGGCUCCUGAAAUAUUAUUAUUUAUUUUCUAGUUCCCAAAAUAUUUAAAAAUAUUGGUGUCAGAGUGGUAUUUAUACGGGUGAAGCCAAAUAAAUUAACUUUACCUACAAAAAUUAAUUUUUGUUAUAAAAUAAAGAGAUGGAGAGAAUGAAGAACAAAUAAAAUAUGAAAGCAAUAGAGAAUGUACUUUAUUGAUCAAAGGGAUGAUUACAAUGUUUCAUCAGAGUCUCUAUUUAUAGGCAUAAGAAGUAUAAAAGAAGUAGAGAUCUAAUUCUAAUAACUAUUAGAAUUUAAAGUAUAUCAAAACUUUAUCUUGAUCAUGAUGGACAUCCACUAAAUAAGAUAUUUAUAACACUCCCCCUUAGAUGUCCAUUGGUGGAUAAUUUGCCUCGUUAAAACUUUAUUAGGAAAAAUCUUGUGGGAUAAAAACCCAAUGAAGGAAAAAGAGUACACAAUCUUCUAUUACAAGUUGUCUCAUUAAAAAUCUUUACGAGGAAAACCCAAUGGGACAAUACAUUGGUUAAAGGAAAGGAGUACAACUUAUUUUAGACUCCCCCUAAUGGCAACAUUACAUUACAUCUUUGAGUUGACGCAUUCUAAUCUUGUGUAGUAGUCUUUGAAAUGUUGAAGUUGGCAAUGCCUUAGUAAAAACAUAUGCUAAAUUAUCACUAGAAUGAAUUUGUUGAACAUUUAUAUCACCUCUUUUCUCAAGAUCAUGGGUGAAGAAUAAUUUUGGCGAAAUAUGUUUCGUUCUAUCACCUUUGAUGUAACCACUCUUCAAUUGAGCCAUACAUGUUGCAUUAUCUUCAUAUAAGAUAGUUGGCAUCUUUUCCUAUAAAGGCAAAUUACAUAUCUUCUGGAUAUGUUGGGUCAAUAACCUUAGUCAAACACACUCUCGACUUGCCUCAUUCAUUGCAAUUAUUUCUAAAUGAUUUGAAGAAGCAACAGCUAAUGUUUGCUUUGUCAAACGUCAUGAUAUGGUAGUAGUCUUUGAAAUGUUGAAGUUGGCAAUGCCUUAGUAAAAACAUAUGCUAAAUUAUCACUAGAAUGAAUUUGUUGAACAUUUAUAUCACCUCUUUUCUCAAGAUCAUGGGUGAAGAAUAAUUUUGGCGAAAUAUGUUUCGUUCUAUCACCUUUGAUGUAACCACUCUUCAAUUGAGCUAUACAUGUUGCAUUAUCUUCAUAUAAGAUAGUUGGCAUCUUUUCCUAUAAAGGCAAAUUACAUAUCUUCUGGAUAUGUUGGGUCAAUAACCUUAGUCAAACACACUCUCGACUUGCCUCAUUCAUUGCAAUUAUUUCUAAAUGAUUUGAAGAAGCAACAGCUAAUGUUUGCUUUGUAUCUACAUAUAAAUACUAUUGUGACAUUUACUACUGGAAAUGUCUAAAUCUAUGUGAAGUCUAUAAUGCCACUAAGUCAAUAAAUAAAUAUAAUUUUCAAAUAAUUAUAUAUAAUAUUCGCUUUAGGGAAUAUGUUAAAAUCUUCAAAUAUAAGGCAUUUGGUCUAGUGGUAUGAUUCUAGCUUAGAGUGCGAGAGGUCCCGAGUUCGAUUCAAAAUAUAAAUAACUCAAUCCUCUUUUGAUUCAUAUCAAAUAUAAUCUUUUCCUCAUUCACAAUCUCAACAUGAGAUCCAUUAUGAAUAUAUUUUAAAACUAAUGCAUUAACCAUCACAAACUUUGUGCUUUUUAGAUAUUGAUAUAUUAGCUCUUCUAGAGCUUUUAACUAACUUUUUACUAUCAAAUAUUGGAAUAUAUUUGUUUAUUUCAGUACCAAAUAAGAUAAAUAUUUUCUAUUUGUAAUAAUAAAUUUUAUUACUACAUUCUCAUAUCCUUCCUUAAAGGAUAUUAUCAGAGACAAAAUAUUUGGGCAUACACCACAUAUGUGACCAGUAAUCUUUCAUAUCACAUUGGUAAUAUAAGUUAUAUUUACCCUUUGAAAAGUUAUCUUGAGAACUCUCAUUGUUCUCUUAUUUAUUACUAUGUUCCCACUUUUAGUGGUUCAUGAGUAUAUCUUUUAUUUUCUUUAUGUUUACAUUCACUUCGGGGAAUGCAACAAAUCUAGUAGGAUGGACUUAUAAACAUCCCAAUAGAUUCUUUAUUUCAUAAUCACCAUCGCAAACAUGUGUGAGAUUUCAAAUCAAAAUUUAUCUAUUCAUAUUGUCAUGAUUAGUCUCUAAUUAUAAUAAACAUGAUAUAAUAAAUAAAACAUAAUAAAAUAUACCUGAAGAUCUUUAACAUCGUCAUCAUAUUGACUAUUAUCACGAGCACUAUUACAAGUAGUAAAACAACUUUAUUUUCGUAAUAACAUUCACAAUCUAAUAGUAAAAAUCAUUUAAUAAAUAAUUAAAAUUUUCAUGUACGAUGCUUGAAAAUUAUCUGAUACACAUUGUAUCAAAUUUCGAUACCACAUAUAUGUUAUAAAAUCUUAUCUUGCUCUAAUAAAAUAUUUAUAAGUUCAAUUUAAAAAAUAUCAUACAAUUAUUCAAUAUUAGAAAGUUAAUAAGACUAAAUAGAUCCUAUCAAAUUUCCUUUCACUCAACAAUGGUAGCUUAAUAAGACUUUCCACCAUAAUUUUAAUAAAAUUUCAAGAAUAAAUAACAAGAAAAAAAAUUUAAACACAAAAAUAUUAUGCAUAAUAUAAUUUAAUUAAAAAAUAGAAAAAAUAACAUACCAUAUUAAUAGCAAACAUAUCUAAUCAAUAAUUAUGUCUUUUAAAUAAUAAAACUUUACCCCAAAAAGCCAAAAAUCAAAUACUAUCAGAAUGUGAAAUUUAUGUCAAAUAAAAAUUAAUAGUAGUUAUACCUUAAUCGAAAAAGAAAAUAUGGUCGAAAUAUAAAAGUUUCUUACCAAAUCUACACUUUACCCAUACUUGUACAAUAAACCAAAGAUCGAGAAUAAGAAUCACAAUCCAUUCUGAGAUUGAAUCUUUCAACAUCAUGAAGAUGAAGUUGUAAGGGAGAAAGUUUAAGGUGAAAAAGAAUUUGAUUUAUGGGACAACUUCGAAAGAUUUUGAAAAAAAUAGAAAAUAAUCGUGCUGAUAACGUGGUAUAAAAUAAAGAGAGAUGGAGAGAAUAAAGAAAACAUGAAAGCAAUAAAAAAUGUAUUUUAUUGAUCAAAGAGAUUAUUACGAUGUUUUAUCAUAGUCUAUUUAUAAGCAUAAGAAAUAUAAAAAAAGUAAAGAUCUAAUUCUAAUAACUAUUAAAAUUUAAAAUAUAAAACGACGUUGUUCUGAUAAAUAUUUAGAUUUUCUAGAGUUGAAGCCAAAAACCAUUAAGUUAAAAAACAAAACAAUUAUAUUGUUUUUGUAGUUAUAAUCUUGUAUUUCCUCUACUAGUUAAAUAAUCAGUCCAUAUAAAUGUAACAUUGAGUAUAAAUAAUAGGAUUUGUUAACUCGAAUGGACUUGACUCGAAAUUUUUUAACACCAUUCGAUUUGAAAAAUUUUCAAAUUGAGUUCGAUUGCUAAAAUAGAAUUCAUUAAUUCGACUAACUCGAAUUUUUUUUACUCGAUCGAAUAAUCACCCCUAUUUCUAAACUAUAACAGUUAAUGGAAACUCGUUAAGUCAUAAAAAAUUCAAGUAAAUGUUUUAAACUUGAGUUUUAUGAAUACAAAAAAUAAUUUUAAAAGCUAUUUUAAAAUAUAAAAUUUAUUUGGUAUAAAUUAAAAUUAAAUACAAAAUAUAAUUAGAUUGUUUGAUAAAAUAUAAUUUUGUAAAAAUUUAAAGGUGGGGUAUUUGAAGAAUUUAAAAGAGAUGAAAUAAAAAUAAUUGAAACAAAUUCUACAUUAAGAUAUAAAUAGUUAUUUAUCUACUUUUCAUUUUCCACAUCUUUUCUUAGAAAAAUCCAAUCAUUUGUUUUUUUUAUUAUGAAUCAUCAAACUUGCUUAAAAACAUAAAUUAUUAGUUGAUUUAAUUAUUUUUAAUUGAUUAUCAAACAAGCCCUUGUUUCAAGUGCCAUUUAUGUCAAAAAAGUUUUAAGUAAUAGUACCAUAAACAUUCAUUUUAUAACAAUAAAGUUAAAGCCACGAAUAUUUUUUAAAAAAAUUCAAUUAAGCCCUUGAAUGUUAAAAUUUCAAUCAAUUAAACUCUUUGAUAGUUAAAGUUAACAGUUAAUUGUUUUAAUCAAUUAAGGCAUGGUGUAGUGUUUGUUUACCUCAUUCUUUAACAAUGUGGUUGAGGGUUCGAUCCCCACUUAUGGGAAUGAAGCACAUUUCAUGGUCAAUCAUUUACCUAUUUGGAGAGCACUCAUAGUGAGAAGAUUAACUACUGUUAUAGUUGGUGGAUACCCUGAUUAUGACAAAUAAAAAAUAACAACUACCAUUUUUUUUGGAUUAUUUUUGUCAAGUGGUGAAAAAUAUUUUAAUUUUUAUUAAAAAUCAUAUAAAAAGUAUAAAAAUUAUACAAGAAUUAUAAAAAUGCAUAAAUUAGAAAAAAUAUAUAAAAAAAUCUAUUGUGAAAACAUAAAAUUAUAAAAAUAUAAUUGCUCCCCCAAAUUCCAUGUUUCCUCUAACUCGUCUAACUGGAUUCUCCCUUAGAAUCAACUUAUUUGGAUUGUGAAAAUCUCCAUCCGAUAUUGAGCAAUUUGCACAAAUGGUUGGUAACAUUUUAUAAAAUUAUUUUUUUGUAAAAAAAAAGUGCAAAGAAAACCCAAUUAUAUGGAAUUGGUUUAUUUUCUAUGCAUGUGGAUCACCAAUUGAACAAGCAUAGACGACAAGGUGGACUCGUGAAAAGAAAACAUUUGUUGCAUCAUUGUUGUUUCCAUAUUCUCGCCUACCCAAAGCAGAAAUAAAGGGUGAAUUUGGCAUAUUAGCACCAUUUCUACCUCCUUUCUCCCUCUAUAUAAACCUCUUCCCACCCAAGCUGCCAUUGCCAAAACCCAUCAACUUCACCUCUAUUCUUCUUACUUGAGACCUAUAUUUAGUCUUGAAAUUUAACUGUGAAAAUGGGUUUCGCAUUUGCAUAUCGACUUAUCUUAGUCGUGGCAGUUGCUUCCGUGUUGGGAAUAAGCCUGGCAAAUAAAGACUGGGGCUCCCCUAAUUCCAACUACACUGGUUGGGGCUGGGGCUCCUCGAAGUCUAACCACACUGGUCAAGGCUUUAAUAACCAUCCCGUGAAUGAAACUCAAGGACCCAAAAAGAUAAUUGUUGGUGGAUCAAAAAACUGGCAUUUCGGCUUCAACUACUCCGAUUGGGCAUUCAACAAUGCACCAUUUUACUUCAACGAUACUCUAGGUGAGUCCAUAAUAUUACAUUUUACAAACCAAAGAAAUGGGAAGCUUCGAAAGAUUUUGAAAAAAAUAGAAAAUCAUCGUGUUGAUAACGUGUUAUAAAAUAAAGAGAGAUUGAGAGAAUAAAAAAUAAAGAAAACAUGAAAACAAUAAAAAAUAUACUUUAUUGAUCAAAGAGAUUAUUACAAUGUUUUAUCAUAUUUUAUUUAUAAGCAUAAGAAGUAUAAAAAAGAUUGAGAUCUAAUUCUAAUAACUAUUAAAAUUUAAAAUACAUAAAAGUUUUAUCUUAAGCAUGAUCAACAUCCACUUAACUUAAUAAGAUAUUUAUAAUAAUUUUUAAUUUCUAUAGGCGAAUUAUUAAGUAACGGGACAAGUAGAUGGCGAAAUUAAUAAAAAAAAUUCUGAAUUAUUUUUGUAAAAAAGCGGCAAAACCCAUAUUACCAUAACAGAUGCAAAAUCUGAUCGGUGAAGUUAAGAAAAUGGAGACCAUGGGAAAUCUUCUAAUCCUUUUUCCAGCUUCUUUAUGCCUCUUCCUUUUCGUUGCUUUGCUCAAUGUUUUCUACAAGUAUUGGUGGAUACCUCAUCGUUUACAGUUCAUCAUGAAUUCACAAGGAAUCAGAGGACCUCCUUAUGAAUUUAUCCAUGGAAACAACAAAGAAGCUGCCCAAAUGCUCAUGGAAGCAUCUACCAAACCUAUGGCCUUGACACAAGAUAUAUUUCCCGAGUCAUGCCUCAUGUUUACUCCUGGAUCAACAAAUACGGUGAGAAUAUGUUUUUUUUUUUCUCUUUUUAGGGUUGCAUUUUCUGAUUAACCUCCACUUUUCAAGAAAAGAAAUCAUUUUCUUUCAGGGAGGACUUAUCUUAGCUGGAAUGGAAUUCGAGCUCUACUGCUAAUUACAGACCCAGAUCUGGUGAACGAGGUCCUUAAAAACAGUGAAAAGGCUUUUCCAAAGCCGAAGGCUUCAUAUUUCUUCGACAAGCUACUAGGCGGCGGUCUUGGUUCAACCGAAAGUGAGAAAUGGGCAAGGCUAAGGAAACUGGCCCAUUAUGCCUUUCAUGGGGAGAGCUUAAAAGUAAAUCAUCGCCACAUUCUACUCUAAUUAUUGUAGUGGAACAUCUACAAACUUGAUACUUUUUUGCAGAAUAUGAUUCCAGCAGUAGUUGCUAGCGUUGAAACCAUGCUUGAGAAAUGGAAAAGUAAGGAGGGCAAAGAGAUAGAAGUGUUCCAAGAGUUCAGAUUAUUGACUUCAGAAGUGAUAUCCAGAACCGCCUUUGGUAGCAGUUACUUGGAAGGGGAGAAGAUUUUUGACAUGUUGAUGAAGUUGACAGUAAUUGCAGGCAGAAAUAUUUAUAAAGCAGAGAUUCUCAUCAUCAG